GACAUGGCACUUGCAAUUACAGAAUAGUGGGUUCGAAUCCCGGGACAACCCAUACGCAAAAAGUAUGCAGCAUGACUAUAAGUCUACAAGUUGCUUUGGAUAAAAGCUAAUUUCUAUAUUAUUUUAUAAAAACAGGGAUAACAUGUUAUAAACGCCUAAUGUAUACUAUUACCCUCUCUGAUGCAGGGUCUUCCAACACUAUACAGGAAGGCUAUGCAUGUUAUACAUAUGUAAUUAACAGGGAAACGUGUUAUUAACACCUAGUGUAUAUUGUACAUAUGUACAGUAAGGACAUAAACACCUUACAAAUGUGAUAUAAACAUCUAUAGGGUUUACCCUAAUCUCAUUACUAAGGUCAUUUACAAAUGUAAUAUAAACAUCUAUGGGGUUUACCCUAAUCUCAUCACUAAGGUCAUUUACAAAUGUGAUAUAAACAUCUAUAGGGUUUACCCUAAUCUCAUCACUAAGGUCAUUUACAAAUGUGAUAUAAACAUCUAUAGGGUUUACCCUAAUCUCAUCACUAAGGUCAUUUACAAAUGUGAUAUAAACAUCUAUAGGGUUUACCCUAAUCUCAUCACUAAGGUCAUUUACAAAUGUGAUAUAAACAUCUAUAGGGUUUACCCUAAUCUCAUCACUAAGGUCAUUUACAAAUGUGAUUUAAACAUCUAUAGGGUUUACCCUAAUCUCAUCACUAAGGUCAUUUACAAAUGUGAUAUAAACAUCUAUAGGGUUUACCCUAAUCUCAUCACUAAGGUCAUUUACAAAUGGCUAUAAUGGUAUUAUACAUGUGCUAUAACCCAUUAUUUUAAGGCUGCAAGGUCAGGCCUUACCAGGGAGCUCAUUAUCAUUACAAACCCGGGUCUCUGGUGUGAAAGGCAAACACCCACCGUAUCUCAACCAAUAGAGUUAACCCACUUGGUGGGAAUGUAACGUGGAUCCUAUAGCGAAGAUCGCUGCAAUAUCAUUAACAUGUUCACCAGCUGGAAGCCUGAUUACAGUAACAGGAGUCUGGUAAACGAGGCUAGAGAAACAUCCAUUAACCAUUAUGUAAACACUGUGGAAAAACAAUAUGAACACAGGUACAAUAGAGUACUAUAAACUCUUUGGAACUCUUUGUGUAAAUGUGUAAUAAUGGAUUUCAUUAACCAAUAAGAGUGAGAUGCGAUAAAGGAGAAUGAUGUGAUUAUACAUUUGCUCUCGCAUGAAACAUUCCCAAGUUAGUUCAGGUGAAGAGAGAUUCCUGUACAGCACUUUGAGAUAUCAGCUGAUGUACGAAGGGCUAUAUAAAUAAAAUUUGAUUGAUUGAUUGA